GACGAACGCUGGCGGCGUGCUUAACACAUGCCAGUCGAACGGAAAGGCCCUGCUUUUGUGGGGUGCUCGAGUGGCGAACGGGUGAGUAACACGUGAGUAACCUGCCCUUGACUUUGGGAUAACUUCAGGAAACUGGGGCUAAUACCGGAUAGGAGCUCCUGCUGCAUGGUGGGGGUUGGAAAGUUUCGGCGGUUGGGGAUGGAUUCGCGGCUUAUCAGCUUGUUGGUGGGGUAGUGGCUUACCAAGGCUUUGACGGGUAGCCGGCCUGAGAGGGUGACCGGCCACAUUGGGACUGAGAUAGGGCCCAGACUCCUACGGGAGGCAGCAGUGGGGAAUAUUGCACAAUGGGCGGAAGCCUGAUGCAGCAACGCCGCGUGCGGGAUGACGGCCUUCGGGUUGUAAACCGCUUUCGCCUGUGACGAAGCGUGAGUGACGGUAAUGGGUAAAGAAGCACCGGCUAACUACGUG
rnacentral:rRNA from 1 species